UUUCUCUGUUUCUAGUUAUUUAUUGAAAAUUGAAGUUGCCAUCCUUUCAGCUCCACAACAUUCUCUGAAGCCAAAUUUGUGACUUCAGGUUGGAUGUCGAUGGGAUAAGAGUCCUGCAAUUUCUUUGAAUUUAUGACGCCCCCAGGUUGGUAAACCGACUGAACAAGAGGGAAGAGGCAAGUUCCGUGGGUCAGGGCAUCACCGAACAGGAAUCCCCGGAGACACGCCCAGGA
rnacentral:lncRNA from 1 species